rnacentral:rRNA from 1 species
UACGUAGGGGGCGAGCGUUGUCCGGAAUCAUUGGGCGUAAAGCGCGCGUAGGCGGCCCGGUAAGUCCGCUCUGAAAGUCCAGGGCUCAACCCUGGAAAGCGGGUGGAUACUGCCGGGCUGGAAUCCGGAAGAGGCGAGUGGAAUUCCUGGUGUAGCGGUGGAAUGCGCAGAGAUCAGGAGGAACACCAAUAGCGAAGGCAGCUCGCUGGGACGGUAUUGACGAUAAGGCGCGAAAGAGUGGGGAGCAAACAGG